rnacentral:rRNA from 1 species
UACGUAGGGUGCGAGCGUUGUCCGGAAUUAUUGGGCGUAAAGAGCUCGUAGGCGGUCUGUCGCGUCGGAUGUGAAAACCCAGGGCUUAACCCUGGGCCUGCAUUCGAUACGGGCAGACGUAGAGUUCGGUAGGGGAGACGUGGAAUUCCUGGUGUAGCGGUGAAAUGACGCAGAUAUCAGGAGGAACACCUGCGGCGAAGGCGGGUUGCUGGGCUGACACUGACGCUGAGGCGCGAAAGCCAGGGGAGCGAACGGG